GGGAAUCUACCUAGUAGUGGGGGAUAGCCAGAAGAAAUCUGAAUAAUACCGCAUACGCCCUACGGGGGAAAGAGGCCCUCUUCUUGAAAGGGUCUCACUAUUAGAUGAGCCCGCGUUAGAUUAGCUAGAUGGUGAGGUAAGAGCUCACCAUGGCGACGAUCUAUAGCUGGUCUGAGAGGAUGAUCAGCCACAUUGGGACUGAGACACGGCCCAG
rnacentral:rRNA from 1 species